AGUGAACGCUGGCGGUAGGCCUAACACAUGCAAGUCGAACGGCAGCACAGUAAGAGCUUGCUCUUACGGGUGGCGAGUGGCGGACGGGUGAGGAAUACAUCGGAAUCUACUUUUUCGUGGGGGAUAACGUAGGGAAACUUACGCUAAUACCGCAUACGACCUACGGGUGAAAGCAGGGGAUCUUCGGACCUUGCGCGAUUGAAUGAGCCGAUGUCGGAUUAGCUAGUUGGCGGGGUAAAGGCCCACCAAGGCGACGAUCCGUAGCUGGUCUGAGAGGAUGAUCCGGCACACUGGAAACGAGAAACGGUCCCGACUCCUACGGGAGGCAGCAGUGGGGAAUAUUGGACAAUGGGCGGAAGCCUGAUCCAGGCAUGCCGCGUGGGUGAAGAAGGGCUUCGGGUUGUAAAGCCCUUUUGUUGGGGAAGAAAAGGCGCAGGUUAAUAACCCCGCGUUUUGACGGUAACCAAAGAAAAAGCCACGGCUAACUUCGUG
rnacentral:rRNA from 1 species